AGUGAACGCUGGCGGCGUGCCUAAUACAUGCAAGUCGAACGGUAACAGGAAGUAGCUUGCUACUUUGCUGAUUAGUGGCGCACGGGUGAGUAAUGCAUAGGUCAUGUGCCCCAUAGUCUGGGAUAGCCACUGGAAACGGUGAUUAAUACUGGAUACUCCCGAGAGGGGAAAGUUUUUCGCUAUGGGAUCAGCCUAUGUCCUAUCAGCUUGUUGGUGAGGUAAUGGCUCACCAAGGCUAUGACGGGUAUCCGGCCUGAGAGGGUGAACGGACACACUGGAACUGAGACACGGUCCAGACUCCUACGGGAGGCAGCAGUAGGGAAUAUUGCUCAAUGGGGGAAACCCUGAAGCAGCAACGCCGCGUGGAGGAUGAAGGUCUUCGGAUUGUAAACUCCUUUUCUAAGAGAAGAUUAUGACGGUAUCUUAGGAAUAAGCACCGGCUAACUCCGU
rnacentral:rRNA from 1 species